rnacentral:lncRNA from 1 species
CUCUCUCUCUCUAUAUAUAUAUAUAUACUAGCUAUAACCCGUGCCUGAAGGCACGGCAUAACAAAAAUUAAAUUAAAAUUUGAAAAAUAUUACAUUAUCUAAAUACACAUACCACCACAACAAUUAAUACAUACUCAAUCAUCAAUACAUAUCCAACCACCAAAACAUCGAGCUAGUCGGUACUAAUUUCAAAAAAAAUCGACAAAACUUAUCCAUCAUUCCAUACCCAAAAUCAUCAAUACAUAUCCAAACCACCAAAAAAACCAUCAUUCUAUUCCCAAAAUCAUCAUAACCAUGUAUAAUUAGUUAACUUUACAAAAUACGAAACACAUAAAAUACAAACAAUCAUCAACACAUAUCUAACCACCAAAACAUCAAGCUAGUCGCUACUAAUUUUAAAAAAAUUCGACAAAGUUUCAUUUAAAAAUAGAUACCCAGACAAAUAUAAACAUGUCUAUAAAACUUACAAUCAUCCAUAUAUAUCCAAACCACAAAAAAAAACAUAAUUCCAUACCCAAAAUCAUCAUAACUAUGUAUAAUUAGUUAACUUUACAAAAUACAAAACACAAAAAAUACAUACAUGAAUAAAUUAAUACAUACUCAAUCAUCAACAGAUCCAACCACCAAAACAUCAAGUUAGUCGCUACUAAUUUCAAGAAAUUUCGGCAGAGUUUCCUUUAAAAAUAGAUAUCCAGAAAAAUCUAAACCUGUUUACAAAACUUACAAUCAUCCAUACAUAUCCAAACCACCAAAAAAACCAUCAUUCCAUACCCAAAAUAUCAUAACCAUGUAUAAUUAGCUAACUUUACAAAAGACGGAACACAAAGAAUACAUACAUGCAGAAAAUAGAGAAACAACAUGUUGAGCAUAAGACCN